UACGGGGGGGGCAAGCGUUGUUCGGAAUUACUGGGCGUAAAGGGCUUGUAGGUGGCCAACUAAGUCAGACGUGAAAUCCCUCGGCUUAACCGGGGAACUGCGUCUGAUACUGGAUGGCUAGAGUUUGGGAGAGGGAUGCGGAAUUCCAGGUGUAGCGGUGAAAUGCGUAGAUAUCUGGAGGAACACCGGUGGCGAAGACGGCAUCCUGGACCAAUACUGACACUGAAAAGCGAAAGCCAGGGGAGCAAACGGG
rnacentral:rRNA from 1 species